GCUCGGGUGGUGGAAUUGGUAGACACUAGGGACUUAAAAUCCCUCGCAGCAUAGCUGUGUACGAGUUCAAGUCUCGUCCCGAGCA
rnacentral:tRNA from 1 species